UGAAAAUAUUGUUGUUAAAACCAUGAAAUUUGAUUGAAUUAUGUGAAUGAUGAAAAUGUUGUUGUUAAACCCAUGAAAUUUGAUUGAAUUGUGGGAAUGAUGAAAAUAUUGAUGUUAAACCCAAGAUAUUUCAUUGAAUUUUGUGAAUAAUGAAAAUGUUAUUGUUAAAUACAUAAAAUUUGAGUUAAUUGUGGGAAUGAUAAAAGUGUGAUGUUAAACCCAUGAAAUUUGAUUGAAUUGUGGGAAUGAUGAAAAUGAUAAUGUUAAACCCAUGAAAUUUGAUUAAAUUGUGGGAAUGAUGAAAAUGAUGAUGUUAAACCCAUGAAAUUUUAUUGAAUUGUGGGAAUGAUGAAAAUGUUGAUGUUAAACCCAUGAAAUUUUAAUGAAUUGUGGGAAUGAUGAAAAUGAUGAUGUUACACACAUGAAAUUUGAUUGAGUUAUGGGAUUAAGGAAAUGUUGAUGUUAAACCCAUGA
rnacentral:lncRNA from 1 species